AGAAUUCAAGGCCGAGAGUCCUCUUCUUCAUCUUUCAAAAUUUCGCCGCCGCGUCUGCUGCUUCUGCAAAUCUGGCGAGGUCGCCGCACAAUCGGUCGGCGCAACCCUGUCUGCUUCUCUCUUACGCCUUCACCUCUCGAGUGAAUCCCUCAGAAAUCACACCAACAAGAGCCCUAAUUUCUCCCAUCAUAAAUCGCUGCCGCCGUUGAAGAACUGGGAUCCGGCGAACGUCGGCUGCUGUCACGCCCUUGUCUGGAGCCAUCGCCGCCGUCUGGAGCGGCUGCUGCUUCGCCUGGAGUCGCCGCCGACUGCUGCUGCUCGUCCGGUGGUCAGCGGUCGUCGUCUGGGAGAGCGCCGUCGUCGGUCGCUGCUGCUCCUUCGUUCGGAAUCCGUAGAAUCAGUCGGCCUCUCUCAACAUCAGUCGAGCUUCAGUCGCCUUCUAUGCUCCAACCUGCGUCGGCUGCCGCCGAGCUUAGGUCCGGCGUCGUUCAGCUUCCGCCAGUUCCGUCCAGCGUUGCUGUCGCUGUUCCCGGCGAAGGGUGUCGCCUUCACCGUUGUCAUCGUCGUCUCAGUUUCAACCGAACGGGAAAGCCGUCGUUCUUCCUAUAACAAGAUAAGUGUUCUAAAUCCUAUUGUUGUCUCUAUAGGUGCUUAUACUGCUCAUCAAUAAGUUCUGUAUUUCUUAUGUGAAUAAGCCUUCCUACUUUCUAUUCACUUCUUUCAUAAAAACAUAAUCUGAUGUUGUGACUUGUGCGACAUGAGGGAGUUAACAGAGAUAGAUUGAUCACCUUGAAUGUUUGUUUCGGUGGGAUGUUGCUGUGGUUGAAUUGAUGAUAACUGAAAUAGAAGGUUGUUGGCUUUUCUCAAUACUUGCAGGAGUAUAAGAAUUUAAGUGGAUGAAUUAAAGCCAAAUUUACCUCUUGAAGUUUUGGCAGGGAAAUGAACUGAUGGUUUAUUUUACUUCUUCCAUUGUUAGCUGGAGUAACAAAUGCUUGAAACUUUAGAAAGAUCUACACUUGCUGGGUUUUUCUCUUUGGUUGAUUUUCAAGUUUGCUUUCUUGCCUUUGAUGCAACGAUGGACAGAUGAGGAUUUUCUUGGAUGCUUGCAGAAGAUGAGUGAAGUUCUCCUGCUCUUCUCGUGGAGUUAGUGUAGAAUGGAGGUGAAUUAGUGGCUAUACUUGAGUGUGGUGGAGAAGUUGGUGGAGUGGAGAGGUGGGGAGCAAAAUUUUGGUGGACAGCCACUUUUUCUUUCUAUUAGCUUAUUCUAUUCUUUCUCUUUUCUUCUUUAUGCAAAUGCCAAAUUAUUGGCGUUGUAAUGGUGGCAAAGUGAAGUGGAAGAGUAGGUGUAGUGGUGAGGUUGGUGGCUGAUAGUGUAGGAGACAUUAGGGAGUGGAAAAUAAUGAUGAUUGUAAAGUAUUGAAGUUACUAAAAAAAAUCAUCUAGCUUGAUAUCUUUUUCCUUGCCUGCUAACUUGAUAAACUGUAAUAUAACUUAAAUUAAAUCCGUAGAUUUAAUCUGCGUUGCAGUCGGAAUAAUUCCUCGACUUUUAGUAGCACUAAUAAAAUAUAACUGCUUCUGUUUUUCGAUUAAUAAAUAACAUGACUUUGCUAAGUCAGUUAUAACUUGGAAAUAAUAAUUAUUGAAUGGCUCAAUAAUUCUCGUCACGUUUUUCUCAUACGUUAUAAAAGUAUAAAGCUAAAAUAAUAACUCCGUCUCUGAUAAAAAAAAAAUCAGGACCAUAAACUGGAUUCAUUUAUAAAAAUUUGCAUUUACUAGUUUUAAUCAUAAUUAAAAUAGCGGGCUACUACAUACUACCCCUCUUAACAAAAAUUUCGUCCCGAAAUUUGCAUGUCUCUGCUAAAACAGUUCGGGGUAUUUUUCCUUCAUCUUGUCUUCAAGUUCCCACGUAGCUUCUCUUGUCUGCGGUGUCUCCAUAAGAUUUUCACUGAUGUGAUUGAGGUUGAUUUCGCAAGUGUCCACGUAUUGCUGGCAAGGGGGUGUGGGUGUUCUCAAUUGCUGAACCUCGUUGUCUGUUGGGGCAUUGCGUGGAGUAGUGACCCUUUUGGCCACAAUUGUAACAACCGUUAGUCCCAGCUCGACAAACACUCCUAUGCAUCUUACCGCAAUUUGGGCAAGGUAAAAUUCCUCUCUGACCUUGGUUACCUCCAGUUGACUCGAGGUUAGUCUGUGCCUCGUGCCUUGGUUGAAUAAACUGUUCGUCCCGUUCAUAUUCUUGCCAUACUCGCUUAUUAAUCGAAUUGAUAUUGUCUUCAUUGUAGUCCCUCUUGCGCUUCCCUUUGAGGGUUUGCGAGGCUGCUGGUGGAUCGUUUGGCGUUGAGAUCAAUGGUGGGGCUGACUUGUCUGACGGCAUUGCAGCUUCAAUGUCAAAUGCCCUGUUCAGAGACUCCGUGUAUGAGAGUCCUCCGUGGCUUGCUAGAGCCAUCUUAAUUUCGUACCGCAGUCCGGCACAAAAUUUCUCUGCCAUCUUUUCAUCUGUGUCCACUUGUUGCGGAGCAAACCUAGACAGGUUGCAGAAUUCCUUGUCGUAUUCAACCACAGAUUUCUUUCCUUGCUUUAACUCAUAGAACUCAGCUUCUUUCUUCUUCCUAUAGCUUUUCGGAAUAUAUUUAUCAUAUAAUCCCGUCUUAAAAUCUUCCCAAGUAUAACUUGCCCAUUGUUCAGGUGUCAGAAUUUUUCGACGUGCUUCCCACCAGAAAUCCGCUGAUCCUGUUAGUUGGAAUGAGACGCAAGAUAGGCGCUCCUCAUCAGUACAACGUAGAAAGUUGAAAAUGCGUUCCAUUGCACGCACCCAAAUCUCAGCUUCAGCUGGUUCACUCGUUCCGUCAAACGUAGGUGGAUUUUGCCUUAAAAAGAGUUCUUCGACUCUCCUAGUUGGGGGCGGAGGGGAUGGGUUAUGUCCUCGAGCAUCUUGUGGUUCUUCGGGUACAGCGUUACGGUUUCUGCGAUUGUUAUUGUUUCUCGCAGGGCGUCCUCUUUUAGGCGGCAUUCUGAUAGCAAGGAUGUGCCAAUUAGUACACUCUAGCAUAAUCUAAUACAAGCCUCAAAAGAAUUCUUGUAAAGGUCAACUUAUUAUAACUUGUAAACAAGUCAAGACUCCAAUGACAACAUUGAUGUAGUAAGCUUUAAGGGUCCUUAGCAUCUCAAAUCCAUGAGUCAUAACAAUUCUUAAGCAUAUAAUAUCACAUCAUCUAAAUUGGAUACUUAAACAUAAGUCAUGGAGAUUUAUAGUGGCUAUAAAAUCAUGAGCUUAAAAAUUAUUCUAUAUGCAUCACUUAUCUUGCUGCCUUCACUAUAGCCACCAAAAGAUACAAUCUAAUUUCUUCUAUGUUUGCUUCUAUGUUCUGUCGUAGUGGUGAUCUCAUAUCUUAAUAGCUCUAUGUUCAUAGGGAUUCAUUCCAUAGGCAUACUUAAUCGUACUUGCGUAAAUCAUUUCAUUCAAUAACAACAUAACAAAGCUAUUGACAGUUUCUCACUUUGUUAUUACGAUAAUUCUCACUUUUCGUAAACAUUAACUUAAAACUUGGAAGAGCUUACCAUUCUGCUUCGUUGAGUGUGAUGCGAUGAAGUGCUGAGCUUUGUCGAUUGAACUCUAGACACUUUAGUGAUCCAUUCUAAGUUUGGCUUAAAUAAACUCUUAGGCUCAGAGCAAACGAACUGCUCUGAUACCACUCUGUCACGACCGGCCUUAAUUAAGGAUAAUUAAUCCGGGAAAACCAUGACUGAGGAAGGGAAAUUAAGAAGCGGGUUUAGAAAGGGGUGCAUAAAAGAAUACUCAAAGAGCUUGAAUACGCGUGAAAUAUUCCUUAAAAGGAAAAAGGCAAGUGCAAAAAGUUGACGAUAGCGCUUAGGGGUCGAUUGGCUAAAACAUUAUCAGAGUUUGCAACGGAAGGUGUAACUAAAAUAAUCAGUGUUUACAGCGGAAUGCAUAACUGAGAUACAUGUAUGAAGACAUGUAUCCUUUCUGAGCCUACUUUAAGUUCGACAAAAGCUCUACUCAGCAACAACACUUCAUCGCCCAUCACAGCUCAACCUGCACAAACAUAAACAUCGAAGGGCUAAGUACAAGAGUACUUAGUGGGCAGUGCCAAGCAUAUAACAUAAUAUCAACAACAAAACACAACUUCGCAUAAGAGGCAUAAGUUUCUUUCAAAUCCUUUACUCAUUAAACAUUUCCAUAUUCAUAAACAGCAUGAGCGCAUUCUUCAUCAUUAACAAUCAUAAACACGCAUCGUGUCGUGGAGAAGGCCUUCCCCAACGAACACAGGCAUCGCGCCGUGAAGGGGAGCCUCCCUCAGCGGUCACGGCAUCGUACUAUUGAGGGAGGCCUCCCCCAAUAGACGCUGUAACACUGGCAUACUGGCCUACUGGCAUCGCGCCGCGAGAGAGGCCUCUCUCAGCGGACACGGGCAUCGCGCUGUGAGGAAGGCCCUCCUCAGCGGACACGACAUCGUACUGUUGAGAGAGGCCUCCCCCAACAGACGCAAGCAUCAAACAUAAGCAUAAACUUAUCAGCGUAAAGCAUUCAAGCGUAAAUAAGCGUAAUCAAGCGUAAAUCAUUUAGCGUAAAGCAUAAUAAAGCAUACCACACUUGAAAAUCCAAUUUGCAUUUUAAAGCAUAAUACUUGCAUAGCAUUUUAUUUACGCGUAAGAAAUUGCCCACCUGAUAGCAAAGUUUUGCUAAGGUACUCUAACUCCUUGUGUAGUUCUUACUCUCGCGCUUGACCUUAAUCACGAGAAUAUAAAAUAAGACAUUGCCUCGAGGAAAAUUCUUAAUUAAUGAGAAAGCGUAAUUUAACUAUGCAUGAAUCUGGUAUGCAUGAACUAAUACUCUGAGCGAUAAUCGGGAAUUCUACUAUUAAUCCUCGUUAAUAGAUUUAGCUAAUUCUCGUCUAGCGCGGUCGAAUAAAACUGUGAUUCUUCCUUCCUCAUCGGAAUAUUCUAGUCGUGAAAUAAACCUCGCAUUUGUACUUGAUUGAAAAAGGACUAACUCGGCUUUAAACGAGGUGUGACCUUGUAGAAAUUAUCGGGCUUUUCGAUAGAAGCAUCAUUACUAGCGUAACCUCAAAUAAUUAAUAGGCUCAAAAGAGAGUAGCCAAUUAAUUAAAUACUUGAUUGGGAUUUGGAAUAAUAGUCCAUCAUAAAAUAAGCAUCAGCCCAACUCUUUAAAUAAAUCAGGCCCAAAACACUUAAAAUCUGUAGCCCACAUAAAUUAAAAGGGAAAGCCCAAUUUAUUUAAAAUAAACAAGCUCACAAUUUAGCCCAAUUAAUUAAAAUAGGGGUAAGCCCAACAUAGCCCAAUCCCUCCCUCUUCUCAAGCUCUCGGCUCUCUUUCUCUCUCAACUCUCAAACGUUUUUUUUACUAGAAUUCAAGGCCGAGAGUCCUCUUCUUCAUCCUUCAAAAUUUCGCCGCCGCGUCUGCUGCUUCUGCAAAUCUGGCGAGGUCGCCGCACAAUCGGUCGGCGCAACCCUGUCUGCUUCUCUCUUACGCCUUCACCUCUCGAGUGAAUCCCUCAGAAAUCACACCAACAAGAGCCCUAAUUUCUCCCAUCAUAAAUCGCUGCCGCCGUUGAAGAACUGGGAUCCGGCGAACGUCGGCUG
rnacentral:lncRNA from 1 species